rnacentral:rRNA from 1 species
CUAACAAGGAUUCCCCUAGUAACUGCGAGUGAAGCGGGAAAAGCUCAAAUUUAAAAUCUGGUAGUCUCUGGCUGCCCGAGUUGUAAUCUAGAGAAGCGUUAUCCGCGCUGGACCGUGUAUAAGUCUCCUGGAAUGGAGCGUCAUAGAGGGUGAGAAUCCCGUCUUUGACACGGACUACCAGGGCUUUGUGAUGCGCUCUCAAAGAGUCGAGUUGUUUGGGAAUGCAGCUCUAAAUGGGUGGUAAAUUCCAUCUAAAGCUAAAUAUUGGCGAGAGACCGAUAGCGAACAAGUACCGUGAGGGAAAGAUGAAAAGAACUUUGGAAAGAGAGUUAAACAGUACGUGAAAUUGUUGAAAGGGAAACGCUUGAAGUCAGUCGCGUUGGCUAGGAAUCAGCCUUGCUUUUGCUUGGUGUACUUCCUUGUUGACGGGUCAGCAUCAAUUUUGACCGGUGGAAAAAGGCUAGUGGAAUGUGGCAUCUUCGGAUGUGUUAUAGCUGCUAGUUGUAUACAUCGGUUGGGAUUGAGGAACUCAGCACGCCGAAAGGUCGGGGUUUUGCCCACGUUCGUGCUUAGGAUGCUGGCAUAAUGGCUUUAAUCGACCCGUCUUGAAACACGGACCAAGGAGUCUAACAUGCCUGCGAGUGUUUGGGUGGAAAACCCGAGCGCGUAAUGAAAGUGAAAGUUGAGAUCCCUGUCGUGGGGAGCAUCGACGCCCGGACCAGACCUUUUGUGACGGAUCCGCGGUAGAGCAUGUAUGUUGGGACCCGAAAGAUGGUGAACUAUGCCUGAAUAGGGUGAAGCCAGAGGAAACUCUGGUGGAGGCUCGUAGCGAUUCUGACGUGCAAAUCGAUCGUCAAAUUUGGGUAUAGGGGCGAAAGACUAAUCGAACCAUCUA